rnacentral:misc_RNA from 1 species
UCACAGUUUACACUGGCAGUCUUGCUAGAGUUCCCACCAUUACGUGCUGGCAACUAACAACAGGGGUUGCGCUCGUUAUAGGACUUAACCUGACACCUCACGGCACGAGCUGACGACAACCAUGCAGCACCUUGUAUUUUGUCUUGCGAAAGCCUAGUUUCCUAAGCGGUCAAAAUACAUUUAAGCCCUGGUAAGGUUCCUCGCGUAUCAUCGAAUUAAACCACAUGCUCCACCGCUUGUGCGGGCCCCCGUCAAUUCCUUUGAGUUUCAGGCUUGCGCCCGUACUCCCCAGGUGGGAUACUUAUCACUUUCGCUUAGCCACUCAGAAUUGCUCCCGAACAGCUAGUAUCCAUCGUUUACGGCGUGGACUAC